rnacentral:lncRNA from 1 species
AGAAGGAUAACAUGACAUAGCAGGAAUAAUACUGCCUUUUCUUUCUGGCAUGGAUCAAGAGAAAAGAAAAUACAAGAAAACAGACAGAAGCAAGGCAAGGUACUUCUAUGGAAGGGUGAGCCCUCACAGAUGGAGCAAUGGGGCGCGCACACCUGAACAAGGGAGGGGAAGGAGUUCUUAUCCCUGAUGCAUGUGACCCCUGCUGCUGUGUCCUUCCCCUAUUGGCUAAGGCUUCUGACAGCUUUGGAGAUUGUGACAUUGGAAUAAAGGAAAAACGUACAGGACUCAUGAAGCGCUGAAAUGUUCACAAAUAUCAAGCAAAAGUCAAUGAAAUUUAUUUUGAGCUAUUUACAUCAUUUAAUAAUUGAGCAAGGUAUACUCCUAUGAACAAAAUUUGGAGCAUGUUUGUCUCUCUCUGCCUGGCGUCUUCAGAAUUUGGAAACUAGUUAGUCAUGGAAAUUUAUUUUGAGCUAUUUACAGCAUUUAAUAAUUGAGCAAGGUAUACUCCUAUGAACAAAAUUUGGAGCAUGUUUGUCUCUCUCUGUCUGCCUGGCAUCUACAGAAUUUGGAAACUAGUUAUUUCCUAAACUUUCCAGAGAAAAUGGUCUUCUCCCUGGCUCAGCAAGAAGAUGAACUUUAAACACUGAGAAACUGGUCAUCUCCCUGGCUCAACCAGAAGAUGAACUUUAAACACUACUCUCAAUGACUUGAUGUUCCCAUCACUACUCCUGUCAUAAAGGGAGGGGACUCAGAUAUUGAGAAUUUUAUGAUAGUGUGAACUGUCUGGUAUGUCAUUUAAGUAAGCCCGUUGCUGAAAUAUUUUCCAUGUUAUUAGAAAGAGCUGAAGAGAGGGAUUGAGAUGGCUUCUUUAUUUUUUGUCUUUUGGGAAUUAAAGGAACCUGGUUCAACAAGGGCCUACACCUAAGUCUCUUGUUGUACCAGAGUACAAUUUAGGACUGCUCCUGAGGAAGGAAUUAGCUAGAAAUCUAGAGAGUAAGGGUAACAGAUUUACAUAGAAUAACAGCCUCAGUAUUUUUGGUUCCUCUCCAGUAAAGAUCACAAAGAAUAUUGCUAAAUCGCUAAAACACCUUUGCAAUAACGUAAGGGCUUACAACUAUAUACCAAUGUAGCUCAGUUACUAAACUGGAGUAAACUAAUUUCUCUUGUGUAGAAAAAUUGGUUGGCUGUGGUUUUAUAGCAGAUCUGCAAUUAUUAAUAGUUAUGCCAAUAAUCGUUUAACAGUGCAUAUGUUAAUAUAUAUGGAAAGACAAUGUGUAUAGACAGAUGUGUAAAAUUGAAAAAUAAACAUAUAACAAGAGAGAAACAUCUAUCGAACAGACAAUAUACAUACACAUCAAACACAACAGCAGUUUUAGUGACCAUAAUAUUUAUUUCUCAUUUUUACAUUGCUUACUUUAGUGACAACUGAAAAUGACAGUUGGCAAUGCAGCUAACAGUUUCAAUAAAAGUAUAAAACAAAA